CGGCAGGCCUAACACAUGCAAGUCGAACGGCAGCACGGACUUCGGUCUGGUGGCGAGUGGCGCACGGGUGCGUAACGCGUAUACAAUCUACCUUUUACAGGGGGAUAGCCCAGAGAAAUUUGGAUUAAUACCCCAUGGCAUAUGUUUGUGGCAUCACAGAUAUAUUAAAGAUUCAUCGGUAAGAGAUGAGUAUGCGUUCUAUUAGCUAGUAGGUGCGGUAACGGCGCACCUAGGCCACGAUAGAUAGGGGCCCUGAGAGGGGGAUCCCCCACACUGGUACUGAGACACGGACCAGACUCCUACGGGAGGCAGCAGUGAGGAAUAUUGGACAAUGGGCGAGAGCCUGAUCCAGCCAUGCCGCGUGCAGGAAGACGGCCCUAUGGGUUGUAAACUGCUUUUAUACGGGAAGAAACACCCCCUCGUGAGGGGGCUUGACGGUACCGUAAGAAUAAGGAUCGGCUAACUCCGUGCCAGCAGCCGCGGUAAUACGGAGGAUCCAAGCGUUAUCCGGAAUCAUUGGGUUUAAAGGGUCCGUAGGUGGACGGUUAAGUCAGAGGUGAAAUCCUGCAGCUCAACUGUAGAAUUGCCUUUGAUACUGGUCGUCUUGAGUCGUUGUGAAGUGGUUAGAAUAUGUAGUGUAGCGGUGAAAUGCAUAGAUAUUACAUAGAAUACCGAUUGCGAAGGCAGAUCACUAACAACGUACUGACACCGAUGGACGAAAGCGUGGGGAGCGAACAGGAUUAGAUACCCUGGUAGUCCACGCCCUAAACGAUGUCAACUAGGUGUUGGGUGGGUAAAACCAUUUAGUACCGGAGCUAACGCGUGAAGUUGACCGCCUGGGGAGUACGGCCGCAAGGUUAAAACUCAAAUGAAUUGACGG
rnacentral:rRNA from 1 species